GCUAGUAAAAAACUGAUAUAAAACUUUGAAAAUAUAGUCAGUCAAAAAAACUAUUGUAAUCAAAUCUUAAGGAGAUAAAAAUAUAUUGGGAAAACGCAAAAAGGAAUUAAACCUUGUAUUUUUAUUGAUUAACCUCAAGCCCGCUAACAAAAAGGUUCCAUUAAUCAAAAAGAAAGAACAUAAACCAUUCCAAUUAGCCAAUUAGAGACUUUGAGAAAUUAAGUAACCUGGUCUAUUUUCAAGUUUCUAAAAUUUGUGCACUGUUAAUACAUAAUCUAUAAAGUUCCAUGCAUUGAAAUUCAUUUCCCACCAUCUAGAUUUAGAAACAUCUUCAUUAUCAGUAUACAGACCAUAAAUACAACGAUUAUGUGGCAAGUUACCUGUAACUGCAUCAUGUUUCUCUUUGCCCGCCAUUUGCCUCUUCGUCUAUGGUUUUGCGUUUCUUUCAGAGCAUUUUUCUAUUGUACGCAAAUCUGGACCAAAUUUAUGCAAAUUGAAAUUCCUUGGCAACACCUGGAAAUACAUGAACAGACAGAGCGAUCAGAACAGAACCGAAUUGUUUUCAAUGUUUUGUUAUUUCUCUUCUUUUUUUUUUGUUUUGUCUCUCAUUCCAAUGAUGAAUGUGCCUAAGGCUCAAGAUCAUGGCCAGACAACUUGGCGGCGGCGCACACCAAAAAUUGUAGCAAGAAAAAAAAAAGAAGAAAAAGAAACACAUUUUACAUGAGAGACACAAGGCAAGGUGUCAAUUCUGGGAAAUCUGAGGGCCACAAACAAUGCCAAAAACCGCACAGCGGGGAGGCACCAGCAGCAGGAGAUGCAAGCAAAAAAAAAAAUAAGAAAAAAUAUCCAUAUGUUAAUAUGGGGACAACCUGUACAUACCCUUUUAAUUAAACUAAAUUGGAAACAAAUUAAAAACACAUUAUAGCUUUCACAUAUCACUGAAUAC